rnacentral:rRNA from 1 species
CAUAGGCACCAAGCGUUGUCCGGAUUUAUUGGGCGUAAAGAGCUCGUAGGCGGUUCAGUCAGUCGGGUGUGAAAACUCUGGGCUUAACCCAGAGCCUGCACCCGAUACUGCUGUGACUAGAGUUCGGUAGGGGAGCGGGGAAUUCCUGGUGUAGCGGUGAAAUGCGCAGAUAUCAGGAGGAACACCGAUGGCGAAGGCACCGCUCUGGGCCGAAACUGACGCUGAGGAGCGAAAGCAUGGGUAGCAAACAGGAUUAGAUACCCUGGUAGUCCAUGCCGUAAACGUUGGGCACUAGGUGUGGGUUCCAAUCAACGGAAUCCGCGCCGUCGCUAACGCAUUAAGUGCCCCGCCUGGGGAGUACGGUCGCAAGACUA